UUUAGCUUUUCCGGUUAUUUGGGAACGUGAAAGUUAAAGUCUGAAAAUAAGCCAAGAAUAAUGCGUUUAACAGAAGUUUUGAGUUUCUAUAGGCAUAUUAUACGUGUUCCAGGCCUGCGUUUUGAAGGUAAAAAUCGAAUCCAUCCACCCAUUACUCCAGCUAUGAAGAAGAAAGCUUUUAAAGAAAUGAUGGUGGAAAGACGAAAUCUUGAAAUCCUUGACAAUCCUUAUUUAACAAGGGCAGAAUCAAGCGGACAUUCAAAGGCUUUGAAAAAAAAAGAGAAAAAUUUCCAAGCCAUAAUCGCCCAAAAAAAAUCCAAGAUGAAUCCCCAUUGUUAUUAUGAAGUAGAAAUUAAAAACUGUUUACAAGCAACAAAAGGUUGGAUGCAUGGACACUGAUGUGAAAAACUUUAAAAUAGACAAAUUGUGUUAUCCUGGUUACAUGUAUAAACACUGAGACAGAUUUCUAUAUUAAUUGUUUUAUGUAUAUACUCUAUGGUUUCUAUAUUAUGCUAAGUUCCCAUGCGUGCUGUGAUUGACAUCGUGGUUUUAAUCAUGGAGUAAUCAUGGUGAUUCUAUAAUCAAGUCUUAUUAUGUAAUUGUAUAAACACUAAUAGUAAGUGCAGGAGGACCGCACUACACACAAAAAAAAUGCUAGGUUCCCACGAUUCGUGCUGCGAUUGAAAUCACGGUUUUAAUCGUGGAGUAAUCAUGGUGAUCCUAUCAGGUCUUAUCAUAUAAUUGAGGUCAGUUGUAGCAGUCGUGUUGAUCGUAUCAAAAGGUACAUGUAUCCGAACGUAUCUGCACGUACCAGAUCGUGGACUCAAUAGGGACAGUCAUAUCGUAACAUAUCGCACGCCAGUGGGAAUCUCAUAUCGUAACAUAUCGCACGCCAGUGGGAAUCUCAUAUCGUAACAUAUCGCACGCCAGUGGGAAUCUAGCAUUAAUAAUACGAUACACCACAGAAAAUAAAUGACAAUGCUGUAGAUGUUUUUGUGUGAGUGGUGAUAUUGUGGUUUGUUUUUGAUUAUAAUCAUGAAAAAUAAAAAAAAGGGUUUUUA